GAGGAUGCAUCAAUGAGGGAGAUACAACUCUAUUUCUCAGGGAAAGGGAACAUUUCUGGGAAGUGAGUAGAAAUAAUCAAUGAAGCAUAUACAAAAAUAACUGGAACCAAGGCAGAGUGAGACAGGUGCCAUAGAGGUCCACCCAGUGGUGACAUCAUAUUGGGUUGGAACUUACCAAGCAACAGCUCAUAGGGAAGUCUGCAUUUGAUAGGAAAUAAAGAUAAAUGGGUAAGGUUUUACCUGACUGGGAACAUAAAAUUAUGCAGAUAAGACAAAGCAUGGCUUAAAUUUUGGCUCUAAAGCCCAUCCUUAUCGAGCUAGUUCUCCUGCGACCUAGACCUAGGUUUCAGAACUGGGGCAAUGAUACCACGGGAAGGCAGGUGUGAUGUUGUCUUCUCCCAAGGACCUUCUCCAACCACACUACUCGAAGUGUGUCCAGAAUUGGUGGGUUCUUGGUCUCGCUGACUUCAAGAAUGAAGCCGUGGACCCUCGCGAUUAAACAAGUGCAACUUUCCCAAUCUCACACAACUACUUGUGGAGCCAAGAUUCCACACAGGCAAUGUGAGUGCACAUCCAAAACUUGAAACCACUGAACAAUAAUGCUUUCUGAAAGAUAAGGAAUUUCUUCAUGAUCAUUGGUGCUAGCUGGCUUGCUCGUCCUCCUCAACUUCCAGUACUGUUGAAUCGUUGUGUAUAAUUUGACCAACAUUAAAUCUUUCUUUUUUGACACGGAGUCUCGCUCUGUCGCCCAGGCUGGAGUGCAGUGGCAUGAUCUCAGCUCACUGCAAGCUCCGCCUCCCAGGUUCAUGCCAUUCUCCUGCCUCAGUCUCCCAAGUAGCUGGGACUACAGGCACCCACCAACCAUGCCCGGCUAAUUUUUUGUAUUUUAAUGGAGACAGGGUUUCACCGUGUUAGCCAGGAUGGUCUUGAUCUCCUGACCUUGUGAUCCGCCCGCCUUGGCCUCCCAAAGUGCUGGGAUUACAGGCACAACAUUAAAUCUUUUUAAAUGAUACGUGUCUCUUUGGUUAGUUUUCACACAGUUAUAGGUCAUAAACCAUUUUUACCUUACCUUUCUCACUUAACAUGUACUAUAAGCAUUUUCUAUAAUAUUUUACUUCUAUCUCUUUAGCAACUGAGCCCUAAAGCCCGUCCAUGUGUCUAGACUGGUCUGUUGCUCCUUCACUUUUUAAAAGAUAGAAAAAUAUAGUUACUACUAGUUGAAACUGCAUCCUGAAUUUGACUUUCCAAAAGUUGACGCAUUCCAUCAUGAAGUGGCCUGGUCUUUCCCCAGCAGCAGCAACCCAACAAACUAACAGCUGACUAUGCCCAAGUAGAAAACCCCAUACUCUAGAAGGGGCUACAUCACAUCCCCCUGGCAAGUUGCUCUCUUCACCCAGUGAAUUUACACUAUUUUCAGGCAUUGGCAGCUAUCUGUCCAGAACUUGCAUCAUAAAGGGUACAUGGGCACUGUACUUGUCUUUAACUCUACAGAGGCUUUGAUAAAUGGGUGAACAAUUAAACAACUGAUUUCACUAUAAAAACUGUCACCUCUUUGCCCUGCUUCUUAAGGAAGGUGACAUGGAAAGGGCUAGUUUGCCUCCUAAAAAAGGGCAUGAGUCUUUUGGGAAAAACUCACGUAACUCUAUUUAGAAGCAGUUUAAAUUGCUAAGUCAACCAACACAAAUAUUGAUGAAGCACCUGUAAGUAUGAAAUAUUAUACUAGGCAGUGCAGGAGAUACCAGGAACAUGAGAAAUGCUUUCUGACCUUCAUAUUUAAAUAAAGUGACAUAGGUUUAGUAGCUAGUGCUGUGGCUGGCACGUAGUAGCCAGUCAACAAAUGCUAGUUUCUCUCCUGUCUUCCUUUCCUCAUCCUUUCCCUUAAGGAUUUUACAACUUAGUUGCAGGAAAAGGCCAUAAACAUGAAAACUGUUAAAUACUACCAUGAAAUUUAAAUAACCAUAUGAGGAAUUUCACAUGUUAAUUACCUAAUACCACCACCUGAAGUUUAUUAAGUGCUUCACAUUACUUUCUAACAAGUAAUGAACCCAGAUAACAAUGUUUCUUUAAAAGGAAACGGUUAAAGGCUACUGUCUGCUUUGUUUUUUCUUUAUUUUGUUUUGAUUUUUCCUUUCUCUUAGUAUCAGAAUGUUGACUCUAUGAGUUAGGCCAUAUCCAUAUCAUUAUUAUACUAUAUGUGACACUAUUCGUGCAUCUUUUUUCUCAUUAUUAUACUUUAAGUUCUGGGAUACAUGUACAGAACGUGCAGGUUUGUUACCUAGGUAUACAAGUACCAUGGUGGUUUGCUGCACCCAUCAACCCAUAAUCUACAUUAGGAAUUUCUCCUAAUGCUAUCCCUCCCCAAACCUCCUACCCCCAGACAGGCCCCAGUGUGUGAUGUUCCCCUCCCUGUGUCCAUGUUUUCUCAUUGUUCAACUCCCACUUAUGAGUGAGACCACAUGGUGUUUGGUUUUCUGUUCUUGUGUUAGUUUGCUGAGAAAUUCAGUUCAAAAAAUCUCUCUACAAACUCCAUGAAGUUAGAUACUAUAUCUGGCAUAUUCGUUUUGGUAUUCUUAAAGCUAAUAAAGUGUCUGGUAUACAGUAUAUGUACAAUCAAUAUGUGAUGACUGUAUAAAUUAAUGAAAUCCACAAGUGAAAGGAAAAAUUGUACAUUUUACUCUAUGUAGUGAUAAAUAGGGAUCAAUAAGGGAUGCCUAGUAAAUAAUCAGUCUUUAUUACCUCCUCAUUAAAGAUAUAAUGAUAAUCCCUAAUGAGUGUUGUCACAGUUAAUUUGCUUUUUUCUUCCUAGUUGCAUGUGGCAGAAUUCCUCUUCUUGAUUCAAAAUCUUAUUAUUCCUCUUACUCUGCCGGGGAUUCAAAUAUCAAUCUAUCAAUUUGUUUAUUCUCCAAACUUCUAUUCAACAGGCUCCAGAAGUUUUUGAUAUGCCAUUCUACAGCUCUAAUCUCAUGCCCUGCAUCUGGGUUUUCUCUGAAAGAAUAUAUAUUCUGGUUUUGUGACUGUGGUAAGGAGCCCUUAACCUCUUUUGGUGGAAUAAGUCACUUCUGGUUUAGAGUGUAGACUGAUAAUGGUUUUCCCAUUAGGACAUCCUUGGGACAGCGAUCAUUACCGGUCACUCUUUUGAAUUUAAUGUCCUAUGGUGGACACUUUCUCACGCGAACUCACCAUAAUGAGUCACAGUGAAGGAGACCUAGGGGUUAAACUGUGUGAUUAAAUACACUAUGAAAAACGAUCAGGAACUAGAAUUCAAGUCUUCGGAUUUGCAGUUCAAUUUUUAUUUCACCAUGAUGCAUUACUGCUCUUUGAGGGAUGUAGUCAAUAAACAUUAUAGAUCUAGAGGAGAGGAAGAUCCUUUUGAGCUGAAUUAUAUAGAACGUUUUGAAGCAUAUGGGUCUUAGAAUUGGGUCUUGAAGUUUAAGGCCUAAAUUGGAAAUGGCUCAUCAAUAAACACUUUUUUUUCACUGCACUCCUGAGACUCUUACAUAAAGGUUUGGGGUUUUCUAAGUAUAUGCAGGAAAAAAAAAUCAACAAAUGGGAACAGGUGUUUUUCAGUUUACAUGUCUUUGGAAUUGUGUCUCAUUUCUAUUUGGCAUUUUAAUUCGUUAACAUAUUGCCCCAUGACAGAGAAUACUAGAAGCGCCCCAGGCUGGCUGGACCACAGCCAUUGCCAGGCCGGCUGGCAGCUAACCUAGCACCAGCAAAAAUUCAUCAGCAUCACCUUCCUUCCUGUCCUUACCAACAACAAGUCUCUGCUUAUCCCUACUAAAAAUGGUGACACAGUGAAACUGAGGGGCAGCAGGAGAAGCUUGCCUGUACUUCAGUUUAACUGAAGAAAGAAGAUGACAUUUCACAACACCAGAGAAAUCAAUCCACCAUCUCCAAGAACCUUGCCAAGUUCUGUAACUUUCCUAACCCUUUCUCCCUCCACUAAUUCCACUCCUCAUUUGUCCCCAAUCCAAAUCUAAUCCCAAAAUUUCACAGCAUUAGGUAGAUAUGAGGAAAGAUAAAACAAAUCAUAAGCUUACCCUAAGGCCACCAAAUUCUCAAACUCUCCCCUUUCCCAUUAUUUGCUUCAGAAUCAUUAUAUCAAUUGUACAAAAUCUUGAACCAUGCUCUUUCCAGAAUCCUCAUUACAUCUAGCAGUAAUUUUAAAGCAAAUGUCAAGAUAAAACACAGGCACUAUGUUGAAAAGAAAAAGCUCAAAAACCCCAGGGAUAUUUAUCAAUAAAAUCAGAUGUUGACAGCUUUAUAAUAUAUAAUUGGAGUGGUUCCAUGAGGGAAAUAAUUUUUAUGGGAUCAUAAAGCCCUAGUCCACUAUGAAAAACAUUUGAUGGCCAGGCACGGUGGUGGCUCACAUCUGUAAUCCCAGCACUUUUGGGAGACUGAGGCUGGUGGAUCACUUCAGUCUAGGAGAUCUAGACCAGCCUGGGCAACAUAGUGAGACCCCGUCUUGAAAAAAAAUUAGCUGGGCAUGGUGGCACAUGCCUGUAGUUCCAGCUACUCAGGAGGCUAAGGUGGGAGGAUGGCUUGAGCCCAAGAGGGGAGAAGGGAAGUUGCAGUGAGCCAAGACUGCACCACUGCACUCCAGCCUGGGCAACACAGUGAAAUCCUGUCUCAAAAAAAAAAAAAAAAAUUGUAGAUUAACAUUUAAAUAUGUGGCUCAAACGGCUAUUUUCUCUUUGGUCCUGAAAAUGUUUAUUCCUUCUGCUUUAAUUAUCUAAAUUCCCUUUUCCCACCAGAAAAGAUGUGUUCUUCUUAGGGGGAAAACAAAGAAAGAAAUAUCUAAGUUACAAGCAAAUACUGAAUUUCUCUGCUUCCUCUGUGAGAGUUGGUGGCUUCUUACGUUACGCUUUUGCCAAAAUAACAAGCAUAUUGCAUCUGCAGCUAUACAGUCUCUUCCUGUCUCUCUGGGAUUGAAAUUCUACACAUUGCUGAAUAUUUCUUUAAUUUUUUCCAAGUGUUAGAAGAGUGAUUUGUAGGCCAAAAGAAAGGUUCUGUUUAACACCUGUGUUUUCAUUGGAAAAGAUCAUUUCUUUACAAGUGUCUGGUAUACUCAACUUUAUAUAUCAAUGAUAUUAGAAAAUAAAAUUACAAAUCUGCAAUGUUUGUAAAAGUUGCUUUCUAAAUUCUAUUGUGUCCAUUACCUACAUAGACAGUUUUCCAAUGUUUUUGACUGCAAAGUCCAGAAAUAGAUACAUUUUAUUGUGACACAGGACAAAUACACAUACCCACAAGUGCACAGAAAUGCAAAUAAGCAUGCACACAUACACAUAGGAAAACAUUCAUGUGUAACUUACACAGAAGUUUCAUGAACAAUAUUUACCCAGUUUCUAAAGCAAAACUUGCCAGCCAAACAGGAUGACUUAUAGCAGUGUAAGUUGUCAUAUACAUCUGUUAACAUACUGCCUCUGCUAAGAUCCCCUUCCUUACUGUUUUCUCCUAGUUAAAUCCCCUGAAUGUGUGUCCACGCUAUUCUUUUCUGCCACGCUGUGCCUAGAACAGUGGUACCCAUGUAUUAGCUUGUAAUUAUCAACUGAGUUCCUUGAAAACUGUGACUCUGGAUUAUAUACCUUGACAUCCUUAAUAAUCAGAAUAUUCUAUGGCACGUAAUAGAUGCUCAAUAAGUACCUGUGCACAACCCAUUUAUUAAAAUUUCCAGUAUUAACAAAAAUCAGUAAAAUUGAUGAUCAAUGAAAAGUUACAAGCUGUGAAAGAAUCAUAAUACCUUAUAAAAUCUAGUUCAUGCAGAGAUUAGUAACUGUGACCCUCUGAGAUGGUCCAUCCUAGUUGAAAUGAGUCAGGUUACUGCUGCUGUUCCCACUUUUGCAUGCUCAGAUAAUGCCAGCAGCUACUGAUAAUUAUAGAUACAGAUAAUGUGUUUAAUUAAUCAGAAACAUUUGCAUGAAUAUAGUAUAUUUCAAAUAUCACCAGAAGACAGUGAAUCUCACAGCCACUUCUAACUAGAAAUUACUCUAAAGCUUUUCUUUGCUGAACUGUUUUUAAGCAAAGAACCACGGUUUAUCUGCUUUAUUUAUUUAUUUGAUUGGUUUGUUGUUUGUUUAUUUAUUUAUUUUGGCCUUCAUGGUAAUUGAGCUUCCACUGGGGAAGAAGAGAGAAGAUUGAAGAGGUGGACCGGCCGCAUAUUUCAUCAUGAAGAUUUAUCCGGAGGUAACAAGACAGACAUUUGUUAAUUUCCCUCCUGAGUGGGUUUUUGGAGGCUUUCCAAUCCUCAAACAAAGAGAGCCUCAUUAGCUAAUUCCAGAGAAAACAACUGCUUCAAAGCCACAGCCUGGAGUUCAAGCUCCUUCUACUUUGGAACUCGUGGAGCCCCUCCAUCAGCCUGGCAUGAUUAGCCCACAAGAACUGGACAGCGUGCAUCCUUGCACAUACAUACUGAUCCAUCAUUUCAGGUUGGGGUGUAACAUUUAUGAUCUGUCUGGAGAAGAACAGAGAAGGUUUAGGACUAUUACUUAAGAGAGAAGGUGUGAUGCAACAGAGAAAGUAGAACAAGGUAGUUUUAAUUUUUUUCCUUACAAGAGAAUCUCCACUCUAGAAGAAUCACAACACAGAUGCUUAUCAGGGAGAUAAGUUCCAGAUAGAAGAGGAGAGAAUACAAGAGCAAUUAGAAUCUUCAAAUGAGUUCAAGGAUUAGAACCAAAUGAAUGUCAUCCUGAGAUAUAAAGGGGACCUGUAGUUAUGAUUGUGGCUCCACUGUUAGGAGUCUUUAAAUAAAUUAUGGAAAUACAGUCAGAAAUUGGAGGUUGGGAAAUGAUGGCCCAGUUUUCAAAAGGGAGCUCGGUACUGAAUAGAUGUCAAAAAACAUUUGAAAAGUUAUCAUAGGAGAGAAAGUUAUAAUUUAUAUGUUGAUUUUAAAAGUGCAGAGUUAGGCUUGAGUGCAAUGUAGAAGAAGACAAACAGCAGUUAACUACAAGAAUUUUUUGAGAAUUGGAGCUGUUCAUACAUGAGGGUCUGCACUGCUUCCCAUCCCAGGGCCACCUCUUCUAACCCAUGUCUGAGCUGUUUAUCAGGGAAGCAGCAUUUGAUAAUCUGGUCAAAUUCGAAGCCAUUCAUUUGAACACCUUUUACUACCAGAUGGAGUCACUGUACCUUCAAAAGCACCAAGAGAUGUGUUCUGUCUCUUCCAGAUUCCACAUGAUGUCAAUCUUUCCUCUGCUUCUCCCCAAACCCACAACCCACUGGACAGACCCAGUCUUGCUGGUGCUAAGAAAUAGAUUUUGAGGGAAUUAGAAGAGAUUCUGCUUAGGCUUCUAGCCAAAGUAUAAACUGUUUCAUAAUCUCUGCUUUGUGGAUAGCGGAGCUUCCACAGCUAUUAGUAACAUGGCCCUUUGACAUCCUUUCUGCAUAUUACCAGCUCCCUCAGGAUCCCUGAUGAGCGGAGUAAGAUGCUGGAAUUCCCAGCUUCUUGCAUAAAAUACGAGAAAAUGGAGCCAAAACGUCACUUCAACCUCUGGUAGAAGACUGGGUGAUUAGAGCACAAAACAGGUUAUCUUCUGUCAGGAAUGUUCAGGGGAAGAUUCUUGCCUUGGACAGGAAAUGAGACUAAGAUGUUCUUUGUAGCAAACUGAUAACCAUGACCUGACUUUUUGAAGAUGAUAUUGCACAUAAUGAUCACAUCUCGGCCCCCAGACUGGAUUUCUAUCCCAAAUCCUCUGCACCAAUGAUACUAUACUGCAAAGACGAUAGUGAGUUUAUCCAUCCUUGCAAUAUCUCUUUAUCUAUUCAAAGCACCUAUUUCUAAAAUCUCACAUUACCCUUUAUUUCUCUUCCUCUAAUCACUACAUAAUGAUUUAAAAAAUAUCUUCCAUGCUUUACUUUCUUGUUUGAGUAUUCAAAUUUUAAAAGAAUUAUUUAAUGUUUACACUGGGGUUGGAAUGGGUAGAGAAGCGUGGGAUAAAGAACCUUCCAACGGGCAUCUUGGAAUGCUUAACCCUUCACGUUAGAGUACAUUUUAGCAUAUGUCUUUAUGCCUUGAGGUUAAUCUGCCUGGUUUAAUCUUUUCCUCUGCCUAUAUAUUUUAUAUUCAAAGAAGACUGACUGCAAACACCAUGUCUGCUUCAUUUUUCCUUUUUUUCACAGAUCCAAGAGACUGACUCAGGCUAUGAAUCAGCUACGUAAGUUCCAUGAAAGGGCUAUGUCUUCUAAGAAAAAGGAUCACGCUGACCUCCACUUUCAACAAGUUGCCUCUAAGCAUGAAGUGACCCUAAGAGAUAGGAAGAUAAGGAGGUAAUGGGUCUGGUUGAGACCAAGCAUCCAAACUAAGAAAUAAAGUUUGCAUAUGGUAACAACAAUAAUAAUAUUACAAAUGGGACAUAAGACAUAUCUAUAAAGGGAACUAAGGUUUCACUAAUAACACUGCAUCUAAUAUUUCUGUGAAUCCCAAGUGAUUACUCACAUACUAAAAAGCAACCACCUAACCCUCUUUGUCUGUUUUGUAGUAUAAGAAAGGAUAAAGAGAGAAAUUUGUCCCUGGCGUUACAUUUUCUUAUGCAAACUGAUGUAAAUCACACAUCUCAAUGUUGAAAGCUUGUCUGACAAGCAUUUCCAAAGCACAAAACAAAUCUCAUAACAGGUUAACUUGCACUGGGCUGUUGUUGGCAAAGGACUUUUAGUACUUCUGAGAAGGCUGAAAAAUAAUUUUUCUGCUAGGAAAAAAAAUGUACCCAAAUAUAAUGGUGUAUUAAGGGAUUAGUGCUAGAUUAAAGUAUUCUUUCUUCUCACAACCAGGGACAAUCUUUUGAUCUAAUCUAAGAGGUAAUCUAAUUUUAAUGCAAGUGGAAGAACUGAAAAGCUGCACAGAGUAUAAAAAGAAGGACUAAGGUAGUAGAGAAAGAGGAUCUUCCCUUUGCCAGGUAGGGGAUCCAUCUGAUAAGCUGGUAUACGCCUUAGACUUACUGCUGUAUGUGUCCUAAUAGUUAUGACUCCAUAAGUCACUAAGUAAAGAUACACAUUUAAAACUUGGGGAUUGACAUAGCGGGAGCAUCGUUAUCUUGGACAAGCACCACCAUUCUAAAGUUCCCCGUGAUCAAAAACUGCCUAAAUCCAAAGGGCAUCAGCUUAAUGGCUAAGGUCAGCAUGACUAUAAACCACAAAUAACAUCCCAGUCCAGAAACAUUCCAACCAUAAGAUAAACCCCUCCCCGACCAGAGACAGGUUAGCCCCAAGAUAACUUCCCUUCCAGAGACAUUCCAACCCCACCAUAAAUUUCUCCCCCACACAGAAACAUUCCAAGCCUGUGAUAAAGCUCUCUCGCCCAAUAAAUACUCUUAGUCUGUAAGAGAGAGUGCUCCUGUCCAAAAAUUGGCCAGAAGCCCCUCUCAGGUUUAUUCUGCAAAAUUAACCUGUCUUUGACUGUUGAGCCGCUUUUCGUGUUUCUUUCCUGUUUCUUUAACUCUUACAGGGAUCUCUUGGUUCAGAACACAUUUGAGGGCCUGUUAUAUACUAGGCAUUAUCAUAUUUCUUGAUUCUUUUAAAUUUCAUUGAUUUCAAUAUCUAAAACUUCCCUAUUAGGUACCUUUUUCAGAUGAAGCAAACUAAAAUUUAGAAAAGUUAAGCAAUUUCCCCAAGGUCAUGUUAGUAUAUAUCUGGGAGAACAACAAUUUGAAUUCACAUCUUUCCGACUAAGCCAGGCUGAACCCUUAAUGACCUUUCUCAACUAUCAGCUCACCUCUCCCCAUAAUGCAUAUUUUACAGCUCAAAAAGGAGAGGAAGGAAAAACCUUUAAACCCAUUGCUAGAAAGGGUGUAUUACGUACAAGGCAGAAUGGCAAGCACAGGAGAAAUCAUUAAAGAAUGUCAUAAAAGACCAAAAAAAAAAAAAACCCAUCCCAAGAUUUGUCCUCUUAUAUAUUGGGAAAGAGACCUGUUCCCCCAUGGCAUGAACCAUCAAGAAAACCGACUGUCUUUAGAUUUUCAUAAAUAAAUCCUCAGCCUUGGAUUGACAUUUUCUUUAUGAAGCCAUAGAGAAAUAAUUGCUACAUAUUUCAGAAUGUUCUAGUUCAGCACUGUCCAAGAGAAAUGUAAUGUGAACCACAUAUGCAAUUAUAAAUUUCCAAGGAUUCACAUUUAAAAACUGUACAAAGAAAUGUUAAAUUAAUUGUAAUAAUGUAUUUUGUGUAGCCCAAUAUAAUCAAAAUAUUAUUUCAACAUCUAAUGUAUAUAAAAAUUGUUGGAGAUAAUUUAUAUCUUGAUAUGAAGUCUUUACAAUCUAGUAUAUUUUUGUACUUAACAGCACACUGAAACUCAAUGCUAAAUUUUCAGUGCUUUAGGUGAAACAUAGUUUUAUUAGAACAAAAAUUGUGUUUGAUGAAAACUAUUUUACACUGCUUGAGUUUUUAAAUUUAAAUGGAAAUUAUACUGAAAUAAGAAUUAAAAUUAUCUGCUUAUUCAUACUAGCCAUAUUUUAAUUAUGUAAUAGCUAGUGACUACUAUAUUGAACAGCAGAGUUCUAGACAAAAAGAAAAUAUAAGAUUUUCUCAUGCUACAUCUAAGACAUUCAUAGUAAGCAACUAUGAAAAUGAAAGCUAACUCCAGUGUACUCAAGGCAGAGAAAAUGGAAGACAUUUACCAUAAAUCUUCCAUAUGCCCUUUUAUCUUUUGAUGAUUGUCCACAAUAUGAACAGGACAGGGCAAGUGCUGCAGGUAGGUUGUCUGUUCUUCCAAUACCAUUCUCGUAGAACUGACUGGCUAGAGAAAGGGUGACACUGGCUAAUGUGUCCCGACUCAUGGAAGACCUGUUGGCCACCAAUACUUUCUGCAACUGAAACAUUUUUGGAAGGUAAUUUUAAUACUGGUCUAGAAAAUCAAGCACUAAUACAUAACUGCUAAUUUUCAGCUGAGGUAUGCAUGAAAUAAUGCCGUUUAUGUAAAACCAAAAAUUGAUUCAAGUGUCAAACAAGUUUAUACACGACUAAUCUUGGAAUUGCCUAACAUGUGAAAAAACUAAGAAGUAAAAUUAUCUUGAUGUCUUGGAAGAAUGUAUCUAGAAGUCACCAUGCCUGUCUAAUAAACAGGGACUUGUACCCAAAAGAAGCACCAAGGUACUUAGAUGAGCUAUAAAACUAUACUUCAUCAUUUGUUAUGCAAACCCCCGAGGACUGAAAUCUGAAUUUUACUCCUUUUCAGCCACUGUUUCUAAGCUUAUCUCCCACAGACCUUUAUAUAUAUAUAUAUAUUUUUUUGAAGACCUGGAAGAAAGGUGAUUCAUCUCUAUGAUGGGAGAAUUUCUUGAAGCCACAAAGUGAUGAGAAAUUGAUGUUCAUAAUAUUAGUUGCCAAGAAAAGACAGGUCACCAUUCUCUAAAUUCUGGACUUUCUUCUUAGGCUGUAAGCCCUUGCAUUAGUUUUGAUCAUAACUUACUUCAUGGACCAUCUUCAUUUAAAAGUAUGUAGAACCAAAAGUAUAUAAUAUUUAUUUUAAAGGCUAUAGUAUCUCUAGUACUGUAAUUCAUCACCUUAUUUUCUCUGUCCCCAAAUAUCUGAAAGAUAUGACAUGCUCUGAUUAGUAUCAGUGGCUCUCUAUGGCAGGAUAUUUUUUAUCAGAGCAGGGGAAAGAUGUGUAAUUCUAACACACUCAGUCCCAAUUAUUAUGAUUAGCCCUCUUCUCACCUCUAGACUGAGAUCCACUAAAAUAUCAAUGCAUUUAUGUCCUAUAAUAGCUACUUUAGAUAUACUUAGACAUUAUUUCUAAAACUUUCAUGCUUAGAAGAAUGUUUCACUUUUCAACAAAACUGGUACGAAUACAACCUAAUUUACAAAACAGAUAAGGCAGUAGGAGUUUUUGCAUUAUAAAAGAAAACUUCAAAGGAUUUCUCUAAGCAAUGAGUUGCCCUAAAACAUUUACAUGAUGAUUCAAGCUUUUUUUUAAAAAAAGGAUUUAUACAUAGCACCUUAUGAGGGCAUCUAUUAUAAUGUUAAGUGUAUCUGAACUAGUAAAACAAUUAUUUGUUCUAACUGAGGUUAUUACCAUUUUAUUAUUCAGGCCAGCAGCGCUAUCCCAAUCACCUGUGGAGCUAAAGUGACUGAGGUAGUCAUAUUAUAUUGAAUGUUAAUAUUUUAUUUUCCAAAAAGUAUAAUGAGUCUGCUUAAAUAAGAAUCCAUCAAAUUGAAAAUUAUUAUUUUUGCUACCAUAAAUAAUUCUGGAGUGGCAGUGGAUCAAUCAACACUAUAUCUGCUGUUGCCUUUUUAGGUUCGUGUGUUUGCUUGUUUUUCUCAAGGUAAUUUUUUUUUUUUUUUUUGAGACGGAGUCUCGCUCUGUAGUGCAGGCUGGAGUGCAGUGGCGCCAUCUCGGCUCACUGCAAGCUCCGCCUCCCGGGUUCACGCCAUUCUCCCGCCUCAGCCUCCGGAGUACCUGGGACUACAGGCACCCGCCACCACGCCCAGCUAAUUCUUUUGUAUUUUUAGUAGAGACAGGGCUUCACCGUGUUAGCCAGGAUGGUCUCGAUCUCCUGACCUGGUGAUCGCACGCCUCGGCCUCCCAAAGUGCUGGGAUUACAGGCGUGAGCCACCACACCCGGCCUUCUCAAGGUAAAUUUUUAAUAUGCUGUUGUUUUAACAUAUACAAAUACGUUCUAAAAUACCUUUAUACUCCCAUUGUUUAAAUUAUAGAGUUUUAUUUUCUUAAGGAUGUGAAUAAUUGUAAAAAUAGUGUCUUCUCAUAUACUGAAUUGGUACUGUAAGCAAUCAGUAGUGAGGGGAGAGAGUUUUCUCACAGUGAACAGUUUUUUUUUCAAUGAUUCUGUAUGAAAAGGGGCUAAGAUAUGAACUAUCAGUCUAAAAAAUCUCAUUGCAUAAACAUGAGUUUGUACUAAGACAGAUGUGUAGUGUCAAAUAAGUGAAAUAAAAACAAGUGAUUAGUAUAUAUUUUUACUUUUGAAAUACCAGAAAGUUAAAGUACUUGAUGGCUUAUUUUUCAAAUAAGAUCCUAAGUUCCAUCAGAUGUCUCAUUAUUUUUCAUCAGACCCACAGCUGGAAACUUGUAGGCUUCAUAUGCUACCUGGCUAGGCAUUCUUCAACUUCUUGCCUCAUCUCACUUUUUCCACUUAGAGAAAAACAAUAAUUCUUAUUAUUUAUGGACAGAAGAUAAGAUCUCUGCUUGACUUAUACUUUAAAUUAAAUAGGUCUUUUAGAUUUUAGCUAAAUGGCCAAGUCUCAGUCAAAUUGUUUUUCUUUACUUAAGAAAGUGAAGGUCUUAGAAAAUCAUUUUAGUAAGUGAUCUACAAAGAAUAUACAGGAAAAAUGAAAAUGGGUAACUAAUUGGUUAAUUGAUCUUAACUAUCAGUAGAAAUUGAUGGGCUUCAUCAGUAUCUAGGAGGCUGACCAUUAACAUAUAACAUUACAAAGAAAAAGUCUUUUUAUUGAAUGUGUAACUUAGUAGUUGUGCUGAGGCUACAAUUAGGCUAAUUCAUUAUUUUAAAAAACAUUAAAAUUUCAAGGUAAUAAUUGAAGAAUGCAAAAACAGAGAAGACUGGAAAUAUUUUAUUACAGUAGACAAAAACUAUCUCAGGGCACUGAAGUACAUUAUUCGUCUUCAUCAUUCAGCAGGUAGCAAACCACAAUGUCCAAUUUUAUAAGAAAUUCUGACUUUUUCAAAUCUUUGAGACUCAGUUGUAAUUAUAUUAUUAAAAAGCAAUCCGCUGAGUCUCAGAAACAGUAUGCUGAGUGAAAGAAGCCAGACAAGAAAAGGAUACAAUAUAUCAUUUCAUUUUUAUAAAAUUCUAGAACAUGAAAAAGUAAACUAUGGUGAUAGAAAUCAGAUCAGUGGUUGCUUAGAGGAAGGGGAGAAUUGGGCACGAGGUAACUUUUACAGGGUACUGAAAAGGUGAAAAAGUUCCCUGCUUUGUUAUAGGGAUGUGGAUGGAGUCCACAAUGGUAUGCAUUUGUCAAAACUCAUUGAACAGUAGAUGUAAGAUUUGAGAUUUUCAUUGUAUGUAAGUUAUACCUCAAUAAAAAAAAGUUAAGACCAAAGCAAACCAUUGCUCAAUCCAAACAUUAAAAUGAAUUUCAGUGUAAGAAAUCGGGUCUAUCAUGAAAUGACUGUGAAGCAAAAAUAGUUAAUUUCUACAGAAAGAAGAGGAAAAGUAAACUAGAGAAUGCCUGCCAUGUAGAAAUGGAAACCCUACUAUUACUGAAUCCUUAAAAUAUUGAGUUAGAAUUUAAACACCUAGAAAGCCAUAUCAAUAAGUGAAAAUCUCUUUUGUAUUCAAUAUAUAAAUUGUAUUGAACUGAAAGAAACAUGAAAAUUACAGUUUUCUUAAACUUAGAAUAUAGGCUAGUUUCAAUGCUCAAAUUUGGACUAAUAAAUCAUCUCUCUGAAAAUCUAUGGAAGAGUUUUCUUUUUGACUUUUUCUUUGCAGAUUUGUUUUAACUUAAGCUUCACUGUGUUUUCUGACAAUUGUGAUGCUGUGGAAAAUAUUGACAAAUUUGUGGACCAAGAUAGACAAUAACUCUUUGUAUGGAUAUUUUAAACAAUUUUUAAAAUCCUAACACAGGAUUGCUUAUUGACAAGGAUAAAAUAUAGAGCCAUGGCUCAGAGUGAGCUAGUGACAAUCAUAAUUUCUAAAUGUUGAUUUCCUUGAUGACACGGGGACUGUCAACAAAAAAGAAAAA